rnacentral:rRNA from 1 species
UACGAAGGGGCUAGCGUUGUUCGGAGUUACUGGGCGUAAAGGGCGCGUAGGCGGCCCUCCAAGUCGGGUGUGAAAUCUCGGGGCUUAACUCCGAAACUGCAUUCGAUACUGCCGUGCUUGAGGACUGGAGAGGAGACUGGAAUUUACGGUGUAGCGGUGAAAUGCGUAGAUAUCGUAAGGAAGACCAGUGGCGAAGGCGGGUCUCUGGACAGUUCCUGACGCUGAGGCACGAAGGCCAGGGAGCAAACGGG